UACGUAGGGGGCGAGCGUUGUCCGGAGUUACUGGGCGUAAAGCGCUUGUAGGCGGUCCACCAAGUUUGGGGUGACAGUUGCCGACUUAAUCGGCAAAGUGCCUCAAAGACUGGCGGACUUGAGGGCCACAGAGGGACAUGGAACUCCAGGUGUAGUGGUGAAAUGCGUAGAUAUCUGGAAGAACACCAAAGGCGAAGGCAGUGUCCUGGGACGGUACUGACGCUGAGACGCGAAAGCGUGGGGAGCGAACAGG
rnacentral:rRNA from 1 species